GCAACAAGAGGGGUCAAGUGACACAACCAGCUGACUCCCGUAGCGGAAGUCACCGUGGGGGCCAGUUCUGGAGCUGUUGUAGCCUCGGUUGCCCGGCCGGGGACCCGAGCCAAACAGUUAUCUUCAGAAUGUCAGGCAAAGACCGAACUGAAAUCUUUCCCUCGCGAAUGGCACAGACCAUCAUGAAGGCUCGUUUAAAGGGAGCACAGACAGGUCGAAACUUCCUGAAGAAAAAAUCUGACGUCUUAACUUUUUGAUUUCGACAGAUCCUAAAGAAGAUAAUAGAGUCUAAAAUGUUGAUGGGCGAAGUGAUGAGAGAAGCUGCCUUUUCACUAGCUGAAGCCAAGUUCACAGCAGGUGACUUCAGCACUACAGUUAUCCAAAAUGUAAAUAAAGCCCAAGUGAAGAUUCGAGAGAAGAAAGAUAAUGUAGCAGGUGUUACUUUGCCAGUAUUUGAACAUUACCAUGAAGGAACUGACAGUUAUGAACUGACUGGUUUAGCCAGAGGUGGGGAACAGUUGGCUAAAUUAAAGAGGAAUUAUGCCAAAGCAGUGGAACUACUGGUGGAACUAGCUUCGCUGCAGACUUCUUUUGUUACUUUGGAUGAAGCUAUUAAGAUAACCAACAGGCGUGUAAAUGCCAUUGAACAUGUCAUCAUUCCCCGCAUUGAACGUACUCUUGCUUAUAUCAUCACAGAGCUGGAUGAGAGAGAGUGAGAAGAGUGCUAUAGGUUAAAGAAAAUACAGGAGAAGAAAAAGAUUCUAAAGGAAAAAUCUGAGAAGGACUUGGAACAAAGGAGAGCAGCUGGAGAGGUGUUGGAGCCUGCUAAUCUUCCAGCUGAAGAGAAGGAUGAGGAUCUUCUGUUUGAAUAAUCUUUCCUGUUCUGGUUCUUUUAGAAACCCUAACACUGGCUUCAUUUUAAUUCAUAGUGUGUAGGUCUGAUUUGUCUGGCUAUUUGUUUUUUGGCCUAAGAAUUUCACUGGUUGUAAAAUUUACCUGGAUGUCUGUUUACGGGAUUACUUUUGCAGAAUCAUAAUUUAGCAACCAUUUAUCAUGGAUGAAAGACAUCUGUAAAACCUGCCUAGGAACUUAAAGAAUUUACUCUGAAGC